AUUGAACGCUGGCGGCAGGCUUAACACAUGCAAGUCGAGCGGGGGAAGGUAGCUUGCUACCUAACCUAGCGGCGGACGGGUGAGUAAUGCUUAGGAAUCUGCCUAUUAGUGGGGGACAACAUUUCGAAAGGGAUGCUAAUACCGCAUACGCCCUAAGGGGGAAAGCAGGGGAUCUUCGGACCUUGCGCUAAUAGAUGAGCCUAAGUCGGAUUAGCUAGUUGGUGGGGUAAAGGCCUACCAAGGCGACGAUCUGUAGCGGGUCUGAGAGGAUGAUCCGCCACACUGGGACUGAGACACGGCCCAGACUCCUACGGGAGGCAGCAGUGGGGAAUAGUGGACAAUGGGGGGAACCCUGAUCCAGCCAUGCCGCGUGUGUGAAGAAGGCCUUUUGGUUGUAAAGCACUUUAAGCGAGGAGGAGGCUACUGAGAUUAAUACUCUUGGAUAGUGGACGUUACUCGCAGAAUAAGCACCGGCUAACUCUGUGCCAGCAGCCGCGGUAAUAC
rnacentral:rRNA from 1 species